CAGAGAGAGACAUGCGCGCAUAUCAAUAAGCGGAGGAAAAGAAACUAACAAGGAUUCCCCUAGUAACGGCGAGUGAAGCGGGAAGAGCUCAAAUUUGAAAUCUUAAAGGGUUUCCCUUUACGAAUUGUAGUUUAAAGAAGUGUUUUCUGUUGAGGUUUUGGUAAAAGUUCUUUGAAAUAGGACAUCAUAGAGGGUGAGAAUCCCGUAUUUGACCUUUACUUUCAACUUUGUGAUACACUUUCAAAGAGUCGGAUUGUUUGGGAAUGCAGUCCAAAAUGGGUGGUAAAUUUCAUCUAAAGCUAAAUAUUGGCGAGAGACCGAUAGCGAACAAGUACCGUGAGGGAAAGAUGAAAAGAACUUUGAAAAGAGAGUUAAACAGUACGUGAAAUUGUCAAAAGGGAAGCGUUUGACACCAGUGUUGUUUUUCUGAAAAUCAAUUAAAGAACUGUUUAUGCUAAGCUGUUUAGACUUUAUCAGCUAUACUGUUUAGUUUUGAGCUUUUCUUUAAUGCACUUUUCAGUUAACAAGUCAACAUCAAUUUCUUUUGCUGUAAAAAAGCUUGAGGAAGGUGGCUUGAGAUUCGUCUUAAGUGUUUAUAGCCUCUUGCCUAUGCAGUCGGAGAGAUUGAGGUCUGCAGCGUAGAUCCUUCGGGGCUAAAUGCAUUUGUGCUAAGUUAUAGCAUUUUAUAGACAACUUGUUGACUAUGAUUUGUCUUGUAGCUUACUCGCUUAUGUUAUUUUACCUACGCUUAGGAUGUUGAAGACUCUACAGAGAUA
rnacentral:rRNA from 1 species